rnacentral:snoRNA from 1 species
AUCCUUUUGUAGUUCAUGAGCAUGAUGAUUGGGUGUCCACAUGCCUGCGUGAUGUGUGCCUCCCUCAAGCUUUGAUACGACUUUGGCACAUUACUAGUCUGACG